rnacentral:rRNA from 1 species
AUUGAACGCUGGCGGCAUGCUUUACACAUGCAAGUCGAACGGUAACAGGCCGCAAGGUGCUGACGAGUGGCGAACGGGUGAGUAAUGCAUCGGAACGUGCCCAGUCGUGGGGGAUAACGCAGCGAAAGCUGCGCUAAUACCGCAUACGAUCUAUAGAUGAAAGCGGGGGACCGUAAGGCCUCGCGCGAUUGGAGCGGCCGAUGUCAGAUUAGGUAGUUGGUGGGGUAAAGGCUCACCAAGCCAACGAUCUGUAGCUGGUCUGAGAGGACGACCAGCCACACUGGGAAUGAGACACGGCCCAGACUCCUACGGGAGGCAGCAGUGGGGAAUUUUGGACAAUGGGCGCAAGCCUGAUCCAGCAAUGCCGCGUGCAGGAAGAAGGCCUUCGGGUUGUAAACUGCUUUUGUACGGAACGAAACGGUCCUGGUUAAUACCUGGGGCUAAUGACGGUACCGCAAGAAUAAGCACCGGCUAACUACGUGCCAGCAGCCGCCGUAACAC